GAUGAACGCUAGCUACAGGCUUAACACAUGCAAGUCGAGGGGUAACGAGAGGAAAGCUUGCUUUCCUUGUCGACGACCGGCGCACGGGUGAGUAACGCGCAUCCAACCUGCCCCCAACUAGGGAAUAACCUUGCGAAAGUAAGACUAAUACCCUAUAAUUUCCUCAGAUGACAUCUGACGAGGAAUAAAGAUUUAUCGGUUGUGGAUGGGGAUGCGUCUGAUUAGCUUGUUGGCGGGGUAACGGCCCACCAAGGCAACGAUCAGUGGGGGUUCUGAGAGGAAGGUCCCCCACAUUGGAACUGAGACACGGUCCAAACUCCUACGGGAGGCAGCAGUGAGGAAUAUUGGUCAAUGGGCGGAAGCCUGAACCAGCCAAGUAGCGUGCAGGAUGACGGCCCUAUGGGUUGUAAACUGCUUUUAUACAGGAAUAAAGUUAGCCACGUGUGGUUAUUUGUAGGUACUGUAUGAAUAAGGACCGGCUAAUUCCGUGCCAGCCGCCGCGGUAA
rnacentral:rRNA from 1 species